rnacentral:misc_RNA from 1 species
AAAGUCGUAACAAGGUUUCCGUAGGUGAACCUGCGGAAGGAUCAUUAUCACGUAUCCACGUAUCAACCAUUGUGAACUGUUUUACCUUUUGUCGAGAGUGAGGUAGUGGGAGAUAGAACUGCUCGUUUAAUGAUUUAGAGAGCAUCAAGGUUUUAUUUCUCCAUGGAACCGAUUUUUCGGUACAUACUCGUUCACUUCAAAUUGUAUUUUCAAAAAUCAUUGAAUAACAAUUCUAACUAUUUUGAACUUUGACUUAUCUUUUUCAUACUCUUAACGGAGAUGAAAUUCAUUACGAAACUAGAACAACUCUUAGCAACGGAUAUCUUGGUUCUC